rnacentral:lncRNA from 1 species
UCUCUUUCCAUUUGAUUUUACCAGCUGCUGAGAAACCUGUCUCCAUUGUGAGAAGGGAGAAGGAGAAAGUGAAAAUCGAAUGGCUGAGGGAGGAAACAUUGAGGCAUCAAGAGGGGAAACCACUCCUUUUAAUCUGCUAACUCUCCUUAUCGUCCAGGAAUUGGGUCCGAUUUGACCCCCCCGUUUACAAGCGGCCACGGCGGCCAUUAAAUGGGAAUUUUGAAUAGAAUAAAAAAAAUGCAAACUGAAAAUCCC